rnacentral:rRNA from 1 species
UCAAGGCCCGAACRGAUGAUCGCGAACCCGUAGAGUGCCCAUAGGGAGCGGUAAGGGGGGCGGCGACCGCCGCCGCCCAUAUCUGCCUCCCUGGGUGCCCUUGCCGCCGCUGCCCCCCACGUCGUGCAGGGCAAGCAACGGGAACAAAUUUUCAGCGCAGUGCGUGCCAAGGAGUAGCCCCGUUUGGAGGAGAGCGAAGCGUGCGGCAAAGCUUAUCGCGCCGCAGCACGUGACGCGAUCUUGGUACAUCUAACCUGCAUGACUCUCGGCAAUGGAUAUCUUGGCUCUCGCAUCGAUGAAGAACGUAGCGAAAUGCGAUACUUGGUGUGAAUUGCAGAAUCCCGUGAACCAUCGAGUCUUUGAACGCAAGUUGCGCCCGAGGCUAUCUGGCCAAGGGCACGCCUGCCUGGGCGUCACGCCUACCGACUCUCCGCGCUCCUCCCCCUACCCUGUGCGGUUGGCUGGCAGGCACGGAUGCGGAGAUUGGCCCCCCCGUGAAUUGUUGCACGGCAGGUCGAAGUACAGGCUGUCGGCCGGGCCGGACGCAGAAAGUGGUGGAUUGACACGCACGCCGCCGCCGAAGUGACCUAGCUCAAGCGGUGCACCGAAGGAACCCACGCCGAUGGGUGCCAUAUGAGCGCUCCUUGGAACCCGACCCCAGGUCAGGUGGG